rnacentral:rRNA from 1 species
GUGGGGAAUAUUGCACAAUGGGGGAAACCCUGAUGCAGCGACGCCGCGUGAAGGAAGACGUACUUCGGUAUGUAAACUUCUAUCAGCAGGGAAGAAGAUGACGGUACCUGACUAAGAAGCCCCGGCUAACUACGUGCCAGCAGCCGCGGUAAUACGUAGGGGGCAAGCGUUAUCCGGAUUUACUGGGUGUAAAGGGAGCGUAGACGGUGAAGCAAGUCUGAUGUGAAAACCCGGGGCUCAACUCCGGGAUUGCAUUGGAAACUGUUUUACUUGAGUGCUGGAGGGGCAAGCGGAAUUCCUGGUGUAGCGGUGAAAUGCGUAGAUAUCAGGAAGAACACCGGUGGCGAAGGCGGCUUGCUGGACAGUAACUGACGUUGAGGCUCGAAAGCGUGGGGAGCAAACAGGAUUAGAUACCCUAGUAGUCC